rnacentral:rRNA from 1 species
UUUAGAGGAAGGAGAAGUCGUAACAAGGUUUCCGUAGGUGAACCUGCGGAAGGAUCAUUGUCAAAACCUGCAAAAGCAGUAUGACCCGCGAACUUGUGAAAAACAAACCGGGGUGCCUCGCGUGCCCCGCUGCCCGGGCGCGCGCUCCCAGCGGGCGCGCUCCGGGCGCAACAACAACCCCCGGCGCGAACCGCGCCAAGGAAAACCAAUGAAGAUAACUUCCCAUGCUGCCCCGUUCUACGGGUGUGUGCUUGGGCAAUUGCUUCUCUUACAAAACACGACUCUCGGCAACGGAUAUCUCGGCUCUCGCAUCGAUGAAGAACGUAGCGAAAUGCGAUACUUGGUGUGAAUUGCAGAAUCUCGUGAACCAUCGAGUCUUUGAACGCAAGUUGCGCCCGAAGCCAUUAGGCCGAAGGCACGUCUGCCUGGGCGUCUCGCAACGCGUCGCCCCCAACCCCCCCUGUGGGUGCGUUGUGGGCGGAUGAUGGUCUCCCGUGCGCGAAAGCCCGCGGCUGGCCUAAAAGUGAAGUCCCCGACGAUGGAUCGUCACGACACGUGGUGGUUGAACAACCUUGUCGCGUCCUGUCGCUGGCGAACCCGUUGUCGGGCGUCUCCAAGACCCUGACGCGCAUUAUUUUACCAAUGCGCAUCGACUGCGACCCCAGGUCAGGCGGGACUACCCGCUGAGUUU